UACAGAGGUCCCAAGCGUUGUUCGGACUCAUUGGGCGUAAAGGGUGCGUAGGCGGCGCGGUAAGUCGGGUGUGAAAUCUCGGGGCUUAACUCCGAAACUGCAUUCGAUACUGCCGUGCUUGAGGACUGGAGAGGAGACUGGAAUUUACGGUGUAGCGGUGAAAUGCGUAGAUAUCGUAAGGAAGACCAGUGGCGAAGGCGGGUCUCUGGACAGUUACUGACACUGAUGAACGAAAGCCAGGGGAGCAAACGGG
rnacentral:rRNA from 1 species